UUUCGUGCUUCAGUGUUGCAUUGGUGAGAUAUUAGUUGCAGAUACAUACUUGCAUAUCUAUAGAAUCACUGUAGUUUAAUCUGUUUCUUUAAUGGCCUUACAGGACUGUGUUUGAUGUUAAAUGUUACACAAACUCCUAGAAACCUUUUCUUAGUCACUGGAGAGUCCAUGAACAUCACCUGCAGUCACCAUGACAAAACCUAUGACAAAAUCUUCUGGUACCAGCAGUCUAAUGGGCAAAAUCUCGAGCACCUUGGCUUUCUUUCCUUCAAGCAGGACUUUGUUGGCGAAAAGGGUUUCACAAUAACAGGAGAUGCAGAGAAAGAAGCGUACCUGCUGGUGUCAUCUGUGAAAGCUGAGCACAGUGCUGUGUAUUUCUGUGCAGUGAGUGCAGCACAGUGCUUCAGGUUUAUAGGAGUCUGUGCUCAAAACCCCUCCCCCGUCACAUGACACAUCUGCACCUGGGUUGACAACCCAGUCAGAUGAGGUGAACAACAGUCUUGACCUUGAGAUAUAUGACAGCUGUACUCUUAUGACUGCAGAGGAAACAAAUAUUUAGAGAAGCAACUGCUGCAUUGUAAUAUUACUUAUUCUAUUGAAUGUUAUAAUCAUGAUCAGAGCAACCAUUUUAACUAUAAUCACUAUUUACUGGUUACCAGUUUGUGUGGUUUGUUCUCCUGUCAUUCAGCAGUCUCCCAAACAUCUUCUUCGGACAGUGGAGGAGAAAGAGGCAGAGCUUUCAUGUCAUCAUGGUGACAGCAGCUAUAUAUACAUGUACUGGUAUCAACAAAAAAAUGAAGGUGGUUCUUUGGAGCUUAUUGGAAUGCUGACAGGUGAUUCAGGUACUCCAGAGGAAAAAUUCAAACCUCGAUUUGCCCUCUCAGGACAUGCUACAAAACUUGCAUACCUGAUCAUAUCCAACAUAUCUCCUGAGGACAGCGCAGUGUAUUUCUGUGCAGCAAGUAAGCACAGCCGUAUAAUUCAUUAUAACCACUGACAAAAAACUGUUCACUUUGCACCUGUUUGAUUAAAAAAAAAAAAA